UUUGUGGUAAAGUUCAUGUCUUAUUUUGUACGAAAGCGUACUUCCGGUUUUUAGAAUUUUCCUGAACUAGUUCACGGUUAAGGGGAUGUGGGGUGUAGUGGACUAGAGCGUCAACACUUUGGAAAAAGGCAAUGAGGGUCUGUUUUCGAACCCCAGCUGAACCCGUCAUAAAACUGUAAGUAGCGCCCUUGAGGCAGCAUGCAUAACACAGGAUUCUUGAUUGCUUUCAAGGAUAUGACGUUAAAUAUAUUGCGGUGUGUUCAAUCACAUCUAAAAUGGAAACUGAAGGCGCUUUGAGCAUAUAAUGGAAAGGCGCCAUAUAAAUACGUACAUUAUUACAUUAUUAUUAUUAUUAGUUCAGGAAAAAUCUCGAUUUUGGCCAAAUUUUCGAUUUCGUUUAAAUCACCCCUAAUCGACCCCAAAUUUCACGUAGAUCACGAAUAUUUAGUUUAUUUUGACGAUAGCUCAAUGGUUAAGGAGCUAUCGCUGACGCUUACUUCCAGUAUACUUCCGGAAAAUUUGCAUAAAACUAGCAAUUGAGCUUUGUUCUCUGUAGAACUCUAAACACUCCAAGAUAAUUUAAACAAAGAUAAAUGGUCUUUUUGAUUACUUUUAUAACUAUUUUGACUAUCUAAGGCCAGUCCUUUAGAUAGUGAGUUUUGGACGUGUCAAAUAGAUGGCGUGAAAGAAUGUUGUUUGUUGUGUCAUAUAUGGGUUUAUGGCGGCUCGUUGUCAAAAGUUCAGUUACAGCUAUUUUCUUCGAAAAUUACCAAUGAAUUCGUUGGUAAAUUAACUAGAUUUCGUGAGCUAUUUAUUUGGCAUCUGUUCUUUACCGUUUAUGUGUUUAAUAUCAUCAUCAUCAUCAUUUCUCAUCCAUCUCCAGGAGAAAAUGUGAAAGGUGCAUGAAGCCUGUACUGUAAAAAUCCUGGUAUCCAACUGAAUAUGACAUCCAAAUGACAGAGUGAUUCAUCACUAUUAUUGGCUGAAUCAUUCUAUGUGACUUGCCAGAUCACCAACCCCACGCAUGGACCAAUCUCUCAUUCCAUCUUCUAGAGAACCUUGGAUAACCGGUGGUUUAGUGUGUUCUUAGGUUUCUAAUGUUGCAUGACAGACUUUAUGAGAAGUCAUGUCCAUUGAAGAAAAAGGACUGACUCACAGUCAAGGUAACCUGUCGGCUGCUACCCUUGAAUAUCCCCUUUUACUUCAUGAAAGUGAUAACAGGCAUCUUGAUUUGAGGGUAACUCCUUCGCUGCUUAUCGUGGACUUCAUCCAUCGGUGAAACCAAUGACAACCAGGAGGAAAAGAGUGCGCUGGUUGAACUGGGACUUGCAAGCUCAGCCGGUUUCCAUCUCCCUGUCAUGCAGUCAAUUAAGGACUGUCUCUCCCCUAUCUUGAUAUACUCCAUGUGCGAAUUUAAAAGCAGUUCACCCAAAUGAAAUGGUUAGCAUUUGUCCGUUUGUUUUAUAAUUGUUUUAAAACUUGUACCUAUAAAACAAUUGUAUUGUACCGGACGCUUUGUUUAUUGAAUUUUUUUUUCAUUUUGGGAAUAAAAUUUAUUUA
rnacentral:lncRNA from 1 species